GCAAGUCAUCAAGAGUUGGGUCGACACCCACGCCAACCUGCCGAUCCGGGCAAGGUGGUUUUGCGAAAGCAGAUGUGGCUCCUCGGAGCAACGAAGCGGAAGCCG
rnacentral:ncRNA from 2 species